GACGGCCUUCGAGAUACUCGACCUGACGUUGCUCGACCACCGCGAACUUACCCGACCUUAUCUUGGAUCCAAGAACACAUACUGAGCUAUCUUUUCUGUGUAGCAUUCUGUAUCGGGAAUCAUAGUUUGAUCUAUCUAAUCCAUCUGAUAGUUGUAGCGAUGUGAAAGUUUAAAAACGUGUCUAAAUAAUAUUGGAAAUAUGCUUCAAAAAUGUGCAUUGCCAAGAAAAUAUGCCGUCGAUAUAUCAAGAUCCAUUUGCUCGUACAAGAACGUUUUGCCAAGGUGUAUGACCGAGCGACUCUUCGCAUUGAUAGCAUCUAUAAUUCGGUGAACUUCCUCGUCUAAAAUCAAAGAUAAUGGCCAAAAGGAUAAUAAGUAAUGAGACAAGCUAUUUGCAAAGUACCCUGGAGUGGAAAAGGAACUUCUUUCCGUGCACACCGCGAUGUCACAUGCCGCGACCAACUGACAACCAGCUGCAGCUGCCAAACCGUCCACCGCCGCGAUCACCGGCACCGGGCUCUGACUAAUGGUCCGCAUGAGUUCUGCACAGGUCUCGAACACGUCCUUGUGGAAUUUAGCGUUGGUUGUGUCCGGCGGAAAACACUUUUCCAGAGUCGGAUAUCAAUAGGAUCGAUCGAAGAUCCUUGUUGUCCUCGUCUCUUUUGAUCUCUUUUAGCAGAAUCUUUAACAUCUCUAACGAUAGAGAGUUACGCGAGGCAGAAUCGCUCAAACGGAUAGUUCUGAUCUGAAAUAAGAUUUAAAUGGUGAAUAUUGCAAAAAGAUUGAAAAAAGUAUAUGAUCCCUACUUCAAACUGUGGAGAAGAGCUCGAUGACGCACGGUGUGCGUUCCCAUAACGACCAGUGUUUCCCUUAACGACUAACAUGGCUGAAGCUGAGGGGUAAACAGCGUGACCGCGGUCACCGGCGCACAGUUACAAGAAAUAUUACAGGAAACUACCUCGGCACAGAAGCUAUCGACCUCUAUUUCGUAAUAGAAAGCGACUUUAGGACGGAUUUUGAAAGUGCACGUGGAGAACGGACGCGAGAAGUAUAUACACAUGUG